rnacentral:tRNA from 1 species
GGUGUUGUAGCUCAGUGGCACAGCAUUUGCCUCACAUGCAUGAGGCACUGGGUUAAAUUCUCAGCAACAUAU